AACCUUAUGGACCUGCGGGCGUAUACCUGCGGAAGGAUCAUUACCGAGUUUACAACUCCCAAACCCCUGUGAACAUACCAAUUGUUGCCUCGGCGGAUCAGCCCGCUCCCGGUAAAACGGGACGGCCCGCCAGAGGACCCCUAAACUCUGUUUCUAUAUGUAACUUCUGAGUAAAACCAUAAAUAAAUCAAAACUUUUAACAACGGAUCU
rnacentral:misc_RNA from 1 species